UACGUAGGUGGCAAGCGUUGUCCGGAUUUACUGGGCGUAAAGAGCGCGCAGGCGGUCGGAUAAGUCGAAUGUGAAAGCCCCUGGCUCAACCAGGGAGGGUCAUUCGAUACUGUUCGACUCGAAGGCAGGAGAGGGAAGUGGAAUUCCGGGUGUAGUGGUGAAAUGCGUAGAUAUCCGGAGGAACACCAGUGGCGAAGGCGACUUUCUGGCCUGUUCUUGACGCUGAGGAGCGAAAGCUAGGGGAGCAAACGGG
rnacentral:rRNA from 1 species